CCGACUUUAGCUCAGUUGGAAGAGCAUCAGACUGUAACGGAGAAUUCCCACGGCAUAAUCUGGGUGUCGCCUGUUCGAACCAGGCAAGUCGGA